rnacentral:rRNA from 1 species
AGUGAACGCUGGCGGUAGGCCUAACACAUGCAAGUCGAACGGCAGCACAGUAAGAGCUUGCUCUUACGGGUGGCGAGUGGCGGACGGGUGAGGAAUACAUCGGAAUCUACUUUUUCGUGGGGGAUAACGUAGGGAAACUUACGCUAAUACCGCAUACGACCUACGGGUGAAAGCAGGGGAUCUUCGUACCUUUCGCGAUUGAAUGAGCCGAUGUCGGAUUAGCUAGUUGGCGGGGUAAAGGCCAACCAAGGCGACGAUCCGUAGCUGGUCUGAGAGGAUGAUCAGCCACACUGGAACUGAGACACGGUCCAGACUCCUACGGGAGGCAGCAGUGGGGAAUAUUGGACAAUGGGCGCAAGCCUGCUCCAGCCAUACCGCGUGGGUGAAGAAGGCCUUCGGGUUGUAAAGCCCUUUUGUUGGGAAAGAAAAGCAGCAGGUUAAUACCCCGCUGUUCUGACGGUACCCAAAGAAUAAGCACCGGCUAACUUCGUG